rnacentral:rRNA from 1 species
UACGAAGGGGGCUAGCGUUGUUCGGAAUUACUGGGCGUAAAGCGCACGUAGGCGGAUAUUUAAGUCAGGGGUGAAAUCCCAGAGCUCAACUCUGGAACUGCCUUUGAUACUGGGUAUCUUGAGUAUGGAAGAGGUAAGUGGAAUUGCGAGUGUAGAGGUGAAAUUCGUAGAUAUUCGCAGGAACGCCAGUGGCGAAGGCGGCUUACUGGUCCAUAACUGACGCUGAGAUGCGAAAGCGUGGGGAGCAAACAGG